AUAAUAAACAAAAAGGUAGUUAAAAUAAACAAACCAGUAUAAAAUGGCGGUCUAAUUAAUAUAAAGAAACUCGCUACAUAAUCGUAAACACCCGAUCAAUCUAACUCAGUACACUAAGCCCAUAUACCGCCGUUACACAGAAAUAGUACAUAAAAUAAUUCAAAAACUUAAGAUAAAAUGAAAAAUCAGGUCAAGGUGUAGCUAAUAACUGAGAGCUAGUAAGUUACAUUAAAAACAACUUAAGGAAAAUAUAACACAAAUUAUACAGAAAAAGAAUUUAUAUACACAAGGUAAUUAAAAAUUAUCAUAGAAACACAAAUAAAGACGC
rnacentral:rRNA from 1 species